AUUCUACUCCCUCCGUUCGGAAUUACUUGUCGUAGAAAUAGAUGUAUCUAGACAUUUUUUAGUUCUAGAUACAUCCAGUUCUGCGACCAGUAAUUCGGAACGGAGGAAGUAUGUC
rfam:Triticum urartu cultivar G1812 contig672483, whole genome shotgun sequence.